AUUCCAUGAUGUGGACACUUUCUGAUCAAAUCCUUAAAUCUUUCCCAUGCAUCAUACAAAGUUCACCCUCCAACUUGUAGAAAUUAUUGAUCUCUCCUCUCAACUU